rnacentral:rRNA from 1 species
CGGAGAGGGCGCCUGAGACCCUUAUACCACAUCCAAGGAAGGCAGCAGGCGCGCAAACCAUCCAAUCCCGACACGGGGAGGUAGUGACAAUAUGUAACAAUAUACGGCUUUAUUGUCGUAUAAUUGGAAUGAGUACAAUUUAAAUCCCUUAACGAGGAACAAUUGGAGGGCAAGUCUGGUGCCAGCAGCCGCGGUAAUUCCAGCUCCAAUAGCGUAUAUUAAAGUUGUUGCAGUUAAAAAGCUCGUAGUUGGACCUUGGGCCUGGACAGGCGGUCCGCCUCACGGCGUGUACUGUCUUGCUGGGCCUUUCCUCUUGGUGAUCUGUGGUUUCGGCCGCAGGGAACCAGGACCUUUACUUUGAAAAAAUUAGAGUGUUCAAAGCAGGCUUUACGCCAGAAUAUAUUAGCAUGGAAUAAUAAAAUAGGACGUGCGGUUCUAUUUUGUUGGUUUUUGGGAUCGCCGUAAUGAUUAAUAGGGACAGUCGGGGGCAUUAGUACUCACAUGCUAGAGGGUGAAAUUCUUGGAUUUUGUGAAGACUAACUUCUGC